GACGAACGCUGGCGGCGUGCCUAAUACAUGCAAGUUGAGCGCUGAAGGUUGGUACUUGUACCAACUGGAUGAGCAGCGAACGGGUGAGUAACGCGUGGGGAAUCUGCCUUUGAGCGGGGGACAACAUUUGGAAACGAAUGCUAAUACCGCAUAAAAACUUUAAACACAAGUUUUAAGUUUGAAAGAUGCAAUUGCAUCACUCAAAGAUGAUCCCGCGUUGUAUUAGCUAGUUGGUGAGGUAAAGGCUCACCAAGGCGAUGAUACAUAGCCGACCUGAGAGGGUGAUCGGCCAAAUUGGGACUGAGACACGGCCCAAACUCCUACGGGAGGCAGCAGUAGGGAAUCUUCGGCAAUGGACGAAAGUCUGACCGAGCAACGCCGCGUGAGUGAAGAAGGUUUUCGGAUCGUAAAACUCGGUUGGUAGAGAAGAACGUUGGUGAGAGUGGAAAGCUCAUCAAGUGACGGUAACUACCCAGAAAGGGACGGCUAACUACGUG
rnacentral:rRNA from 1 species